UAGGGAAUCUUCCACAAUGGACGCAAGUCUGAUGGAGCAACGCCGCGUGAGUGAAGAAGGUUUUCGGAUCGUAAAGCUCUGUUGUUGGUGAAGAAGGAUAGAGGCAGUAACUGGUCUUUAUUUGACGGUAAUCAACCAGAAGGUCACGGCUAACUACGUGCCAGCAGCCGCGUUAAUCCGUAGGUGGCAAGCGUUGUCCGGAUUUAUUGGGCGUAAAGCGAGCGCAGGCGGAAUGAUAAGUCUGAUGUGAAAGCCCACGGCUCAACCGUGGAACUGCAUUGGAAACUGUCAUUCUUGAGUGCAGAAGAGGAGAGUGGAAUUCCAUGUGUAGCGGUGGAAUGCGUAGAUAUAUGGAAGAACACCAGUGGCGAAGGCGGCUCUCUGGUCUGCAACUGACGCUGAGGCUCGAAAGCAUGGGUAGCGAACAGG
rnacentral:rRNA from 1 species